rnacentral:rRNA from 1 species
UACGUAGGGUGCGAGCGUUGUCCGGAAUUAUUGGGCGUAAAGAGCUCGUAGGCGGUUUGUCGCGUCGGCCGUGAAAUCUCCACGCUUAACGUGGAGCGUGCGGUCGAUACGGGCAGACUUGAGUUCGGUAGGGGAGACUGGAAUUCCUGGUGUAGCGGUGAAAUGCGCAGAUAUCGGGAAGAACACCCGUGGCGAAGGCGGCACUCUGGGACGGUACUGACGCUGAGACGCGAAAGCGUGGGGAGCGAACAGG